rnacentral:lncRNA from 1 species
UUGACACUGACUACACUAUGAUCUAAAAAACCAGUAUGUAAAAUUGCAUUCAUAUAUAAACAUAUAUAUAUAGAGAGAGAGAGAUCGUGGAAGUACCAUUUGAGUAGAAUCAAAAGAGUAGAUCUCUUUUUCAUCUUGUCUUUUGAAAGAAAUGGGGAUUGUUAUCUUAGCCUAGUCGCAAUAUUUAUUCCUUCUGCAGCUAAUUAUUCGGCCUCUACGGCUUGACGAGCUUUCUUCUCUUUCUCUUCUUCUUUCACCUUCUCUCUAAACUCCUUCAUUGUUUUAUGUUUCAAGAUGGA